GUGCCACGCGGUAAUACGUAGGGUGCGAGCGUUGUCCGGAAUUAUUGGGCGUAAAGGGCUCGUAGGCGGUUUGUCGCGUCAGGAGUGAAAACUCGGGGCUUAACCCCGAGCCUGCUUCUGAUACGGGCAGACUAGAGGUAUGCAGGGGAGAACGGAAUUCCUGGUGUAGCGGUGAAAUGCGCAGAUAUCAGGAGGAACACCGGUGGCGAAGGCGGUUCUCUGGGCAUUACCUGACGCUGAGGAGCGAAAGUGUGGGGAGCGAACAGG
rnacentral:rRNA from 1 species